GUUCUAGGUCUGAGAGAUAUCCUCUCCUUUAACACGGAGUCCUUAACUCCACUGUUCUGUUCCGGUGACAUGUUUUCCUCAAUGCUGUUCUUCCUUACGAUGUUCGGUUGCUUAAACGAUACUAAUUAUGGAAUAAUUAUUCAAGAUUCAGAUAACAACAAUUUUGUUUACUGGGAGGCCACUGUUUUGGCAAUUUGGUGGAAUAUAGUAACCCGAUUAUCCGGGCCAGGGACUAAUUCUGCAAUUAGACCAGGAAGCAUCAAUAAACCGCACAGGAGCCAACCACACCAUGCUCCUAUCACCACCCGGUUCAUCCGCUGCCUCCGGAUGCAAACGCCCUGGGCGUGUUUGAGCGACGCAUCCUCCGGAUCAUCUUUGGCGGUGUGUUCAAGCAUGGAGCGUGGAGGAGAAGGACGAAUCACGAGCUUGCUGAGCUGUACGGCGAACCGAGCAUCCUGACGGUGGUGAAGGCUGGCAGGAUACGAUGGCUGGGGCAUGUCAUGAGGAUGCCAGACUCAUGCCCCACCAAGAAGGUGUUCGACAGCGAUCCUCAGUUCGGCAUAGGGCGCAGGGGAGCACAGCGAACUGGAUGACUGGACCAGGUGAAGAGAGACCUAUCGGAGAUCGGGUGUCUACAUGGAUGGGAGGCUGUAGCCAGGGACCGAGCAUCCUGGAUUGUUGACCGGGCCAUGCCACAUCGACGUGCUCUAUUGCAAGCAGGGCAACAAGAGAGAUAGAGAGAGAGCGUAAAAACCAAUGACGUCAAAUACGUUGCUUUCAUUAAAAACGCCGACCGAGAUGAAGUAGCUUUCAACAUUAUUUUCUUUUUCUUUACAAACAACGAAUUGUCUGAUGAAGGGUGCUAUGUAUUAUAUCUGAACUGCACUUCUGGCAGCACUGGAACUGUCAUACGCUAUUCCUCAUACACACCGUAGUAUGAACAACAAUCUUCUUUACACACUGUGGUAUGAAUAGCUAGAUUCUAUAUAGACUGCGAUCAUUUCCGCUACCGUUCUACGACACAAAAGAAGAGAAAGCUGAACUACAAGAACUACAGGACUACAAGUAUAUUUAGAUAGAGAUAAAACAGUUCCGUUGUACGAUUUACUUUAUUACAGUUCCAUUCCAUCGACAACACUAUGAACACUUUGAAUAUUGAUGAUGGGUUUAUGAAUGUUUAAAA